rnacentral:rRNA from 1 species
AUUGAACGCUGGCGGCAGGCCUAACACAUGCAAGUCGAGCGAAGCGGCGGACGGGUGAGUAAUGCCUAGGAAUCUGCCUGGUAGUGGUGGAUAACGUCCGGAAACGGGCGCUAUUACCGCAUACACUCAGAUGAGCCUAGGGAGGAUUAGCUAGUUGGUGGGGUAAAGGCCUACCAAGGCGACGAACCCUAGCUGGUCUGAGAGGAUGACCAGCCACACUGGAACUGAGACAAGGUCCAGACUCCUACGGGAGGAAGCAGUGGGGAAUAUUGCACAAUGGGGGCAAGCCUGAUGCAGCGAUGCCGCGUGUAUGAAGAAGGCCGGCGGGUUGUAAAGUACUUUCAGCGGGGAGGCGUUACCCGCAGAAGAAGCACCGGCUAACUCCGUGCCAGCAGCCGCGGUAAUUC